GAGCGGGAGGAGCGGGAGGGGCUGUGCGCAGCCCGCGGACCCGGCCCGACUUCGCCAGCGACUUCCUGGAACAAUAAGCCCCAGGCCUGAGCGCCGUUGGCCCGCCCCGGGCCGAGAGCCGCUGCGCCGCGAACCCUCCCUCGGGCCCGCUGUGGCGGCGGGGCGCUGAGGCGUGACCCGGCGCGCCCCGGGGUUGUUUGCCGGCGACGACGGGGAAACAGCCCGAGCCCGCCGGGACACUAGCCUGCCUGCUCCGCCGCUCUCGAAGACCUGCCCUCCCGGAGCGCCGGAGUCCGCAGCGGCGCCGAGGGCCCCUCCCCCGGGCCUGCGGGCUCUGAGCCCAGUGAAGCCAUUUUACAGAGAAGCAAAUCAAUGCUGGGAAGGACCAACACCUUUACCCAAGAUCCACUGAAAGAGGCAGACCUGGACUCAACUGCAUGGCCACCUGUCACCCAAGUCCAAGCAUUAGCAUCACACCACGCUGCUUAUGGAAGAAGUAUGAGACACAGUUCCAACCCCUCCAGUAGCUAACAGGUCUCUGGGAGACAGGAUCAGCAUGAACAGAUUCAGAGGAGGAACAGAGAUAAUGUGUGUUGAAACUUGAUUCUAUGGGAUUUUCAUCAGAACUCAGAGGUUGGCACUUACUGCAUGGACCUACUGUAUGAAGCAGGUGGAUUGGCCAGCACAAGGGGUUGCUGUGGUGCAUCGCCCAAAUUCCCCUUCUGGACCCAAGCCACGCGGCAUGUGUGAUACUAGUUCCCCGACCAGGGAUUGAACCUGCGCCCCCUGCAUUGGAAACUUGGAGUCUUAACCACUGGACUGCGAGGGAAAUCCCUGUAUCAUAUUUUAGAUUUCACAUCCAAAUAGCAAAAUGCCUGUCUCGUGAUCACUUCUGACUUUCCUGACCUCGUCAUCAGCGAUCACAUGGUAGCCCUGGACAUCAACAAGUCCAUCUAGUCGACCAAGCUCCUGCUUCGCUUAUUGACUCUGCAGACUGUCAGCUCUUCAAAGACAGAGAUUUGUGUUUCUGUUGGUACACUGAUACAUCACAAGUGCUUCAAAAAGUGCCUGGCACAUAAAAGAAUAAGUAUCUCGCUGAGGUUAUACAGCUGACGAAGGAAAGAGCAGGCUGCUGAACCAGGAUAGCCCCACGCAGGGGCCAGCGCUCUUAACUACUGUGCCCGUCAUUCUCCAAGUGUGGUCCAGAACAGCAGCAGCAGCAGCACUGGGGACACUCAUGAGAAAUUUGAAUCCUCAGCCUCCACCCCAGACCGAUGGAUUCAGGAACUCUGGGAACGGGUGCAGUGACCUGUGGUUCAAUGAGCCCGCAGGGUGAUUCUGAUACCCACUUAAGUUUGAGAACCACUGCUCUAAGCUCUACCUCCUCCUCAACCUCCAAACCAUGGGUUAGAUCCACAGAGCCCCCGGACUGUUAUUUUCCUUCAGGAUUUAGAAUCUGAAAAGUUUAGCUGGUUUGUCAUGGGUUUAGGGCAUGUAUAUGCUCCUGUCUCCAGUAACUAC